AAAACCCGACCCCGCCUAGUAGGUCCUUAGAGUUCUUCACCAAGCAUGGCAGCCUGUAGAGAGGAAGAGAGAAAAAAAAGAGGGAGCCAAGCCAGCCGCUUAGGUCAUGUAAAAUGCGCGCCGAGAUCCCCCGGUUUCAGAAUUUUCGUGGGGAUCCUCUCCGCUUUUCUUGCCUAAGCAAAACCCGACCCCCGCCUAGUAGGUACUUAGAGUUCUUCACCCAGCGUGGCAGCCGGUAGAGAGGAGAGAGAGAAAAAAAGAGGGAGCCAAGCCAGCCGCUUAGGUCAAGUAAAAUGCGCGCCGAGAUCCCCGGUUUCAGAAUUUUCGUGGGGAUCCUCUCCGCUUUUCUUGCCUAAGCAAAACCCGACCCGCCUAGUAGGUCCUUAGAGUUCUUCACCCAGCAUGGCAGCCGGUAGAGAGAGAGAGAAAAAAAAGAGGGAGCCAAGCCAGCCGCUUAGGUCAUAAAAUGCGCGCCGAGAUCCCCCGGUUUCAGAAUUUUCGUGGGGAUCCUCUCCGCUUUUCUUGCCUAAGCAAAACCCGACCCCCGCCUAGUAGGUACUUAGAGUUCUUCACCCAGCGUGGCAGCCUGUAGAGAGGGAGAGAGAAAAAAAAGAGGGAGCCAAGCCAGCCGCUUAGGUCAAGUAAAAUGCGCGCGAGAUCCCCCGGUUUCAGAAUUUUCGUGGGAUCCUCUCCGCUUUUCUUGCCUAAGCAAAACCCGACCCGCCUAGUAGGUCCUUAGAGUUCUUCACCCAGCAUGGCAGCCGGUAGAGAGAGAGAGAAAAAAAAGAGGGAGCCAAGCCAGCCGCUUAGGUCAAGUAAAAUGCGCGCCGAGAUCCCCGGUUUCAGAAUUUUCGUGGGGAUCCUCUCCGCUUUUCUUGCCUAAGCAAAACCCGACCCGCCUAGUAGGUCCUUAGAGUUCUUCACCCAGCAUGGCAGCCGGUAGAGAGGGAGAGAGAAAAAAAAGAGGGAGCCAAGCCAGCCGCUUAGGUCAAGUAAAAUGCGCGCCGAGAUCCCCCGGUUUCAGAAUUUUCGUGGGAUCCUCUCCGCUUUUCUUGCCUAAGCAAAACCCGACCCCGCCUAGUAGGUCUUAGAGUUCUUCACCCAGCAUGGCAGCCGUAGAGAGGGAGAGAGAAAAAAAAGGGAGCCAAGCCAGCCGCUUAGGUCAAGUAAAAUGCGCGCCGAGAUCCCCCGGUUUCAGAAUUUUCGUGGGGAUCCUCUCCGCUUUUCUUGCCUAAGCAAAACCCGACCCGCCUAGUAGGUCCUUAGAGUUUCACCCAGCAUGGCAGCCGUAGAGAGGGAGAGAGAAAAAAAAGAGGGAGCCAAGCCAGCCGCUUAGGUCAAGUAAAAUGCGCGCCGAGAUCCCCCGGUUUCAGAAUUUUCGUGGGGAUCCUCUCCGCUUUUCUUGCCUAAGCAAAACCCGACCGCCUAGUAGGUCCUUAGAGUUUUUCACCCAGCAUGGCAGCCGGUAGAGAGGGAGAGAGAAAAAAAGAGGGAGCCAAGCCAGCCGCUUAGGUCAAGUAAAAUGCGCGCCGAGAUCCCCCGGUUUCAGAAUUUUCGUGGGGAUCCUCUCCGCUUUUCUUGCCUAAGCAAAACCCGACCGCCUAGUAGGUCCUUAGAGUUUUCACCCAGCAUGGCAGCCGUAGAGAGGGAGAGAGAAAAAAAAGAGGGAGCCAAGCCAGCCGCUUAGGUCAAGUAAAAUGCGCGCCGAGAUCCCCGGUUUCAGAAUUUUCGUGGGGAUCCUCUCCGCUUUUCUUGCCUAAGCAAAACCCGACCCCUAGUAGGUCCUUAGAGUUUUCACCCAGCGUGGCAGCCGUAGAGAGGAGAGAGAAAAAAAAGAGGGAGCCAAGCCAGCCGCUUAGGUCAAGUAAAAUGCGCGCCGAGAUCCCCGGUUUCAGAAUUUUCGUGGGGAUCCUCUCCGCUUUUCUUGCCUAAGCAAAACCCGACCCGCCUAGUAGGUCCUUAGAGUUUUUCACCCAGCAUGGCAGCCGGUAGAGAGGGAGAGAGAAAAAAAAGAGGGAGCCAAGCCAGCCGCUUAGGUCAAGUAAAAUGCGCGCCGAGAUCCCCCGGUUUCAGAAUUUUCGUGGGAUCCUCUCCGCUUUUCUUGCCUAAGCAAAACCCGACCCCGCCUAGUAGGUCUUAGAGUUCUUCACCCAGCAUGGCAGCCGUAGAGAGGGAGAGAGAAAAAAAGAGGGAGCCAAGCCAGCCGCUUAGGUCAAGUAAAAUGCGCGCCGAGAUCCCCCGGUUUCAGAAUUUUCGUGGGAUCCUCUCCGCUUUUCUUGCCUAAGCAAAACCCGACCCGCCUAGUAGGUCCUUAGAGUUUCACCCAGCAUGGCAGCCGUAGAGAGGGAGAGAGAAAAAAAAGAGGGAGCCAAGCCAGCCGCUUAGGUCAAGUAAAAUGCGCGCCGAGAUCCCCCGGUUUCAGAAUUUUCGUGGGGAUCCUCUCCGCUUUUCUUGCCUAAGCAAAACCCGACCCGCCUAGUAGGUCCUUAGAGUUCUUCACCAGCAUGGCAGCCGGUAGAGAGAGAGAGAAAAAAAAGAGGGAGCCAAGCCAGCCGCUUAGGUCAAGUAAAAUGCGCGCCGAGAUCCCCCGGUUUCAGAAUUUUCGUGGGGAUCCUCUCCGCUUUUCUUGCCUAAGCAAAACCCGACCCGCCUAGUAGGUCCUUAGAGUUCUUCACCCAGCAUGGCAGCCGGUAGAGAGGGAGAGAGAAAAAAAAGAGGGAGCCAAGCCAGCCGCUUAGGUCAAGUAAAAUGCGCGCCGAGAUCCCCCGGUUUCAGAAUUUUCGUGGGGAUCCUCUCCGCUUUUCUUGCCUAAGCAAAACCCGACCCGCCUAGUAGGUCUUAGAGUUCUUCACCCAGCAUGGCAGCCGUAGAGAGGGAGAGAGAAAAAAAGAGGGAGCCAAGCCAGCCGCUUAGGUCAAGUAAAAUGCGCGCCGAGAUCCCCGGUUUCAGAAUUUUCGUGGGGAUCCUCUCCGCUUUUCUUGCCUAAGCAAAACCCGACCCGCCUAGUAGGUCCUUAGAGUUUUCACCCAGCAUGGCAGCCGGUAGAGAGGGAGAGAGAAAAAAAAGAGGGAGCCAAGCCAGCCGCUUAGGUCAAGUAAAAUGCGCGCCGAGAUCCCCCGGUUUCAGAAUUUUCGUGGGGAUCCUCUCCGCUUUUCUUGCCUAAGCAAAACCCGACCCGCCUAGUAGGUCCUUAGAGUUUCACCCAGCAUGGCAGCCGGUAGAGAGGGAGAGAGAAAAAAAAGAGGGAGCCAAGCCAGCCGCUUAGGUCAAGUAAAAUGCGCGCCGAGAUCCCCCGGUUUCAGAAUUUUCGUGGGGAUCCUCUCCGCUUUUCUUGCCUAAGCAAAACCCGACCCGCCUAGUAGGUCCUUAGAGUUCUUCACCCAGCAUGGCAGCCGGUAGAGAGGGAGAGAAAAAAAAGAGGGAGCCAAGCCAGCCGCUUAGGUCAAGUAAAAUGCGCGCGAGAUCCCCCGGUUUCAGAAUUUUCGUGGGGAUCCUCUCCGCUUUUCUUGCCUAAGCAAAACCCGACCCGCCUAGUAGGUCCUUAGAGUUCUUCACCCAGCAUGGCAGCCGGUAGAGAGGGAGAGAGAAAAAAAAGAGGGAGCCAAGCCAGCCGCUUAGGUCAAGUAAAAUGCGCGCCGAGAUCCCCCGGUUUCAGAAUUUUCGUGGGGAUCCUCUCCGCUUUUCUUGCCUAAGCAAAACCCGACCCGCCUAGUAGGUCCUUAGAGUUUUCACCCAGCAUGGCAGCCGGUAGAGAGGGAGAGAGAAAAAAAGAGGGAGCCAAGCCAGCCGCUUAGGUCAAGUAAAAUGCGCGCCGAGAUCCCCCGGUUUCAGAAUUUUCGUGGGGAUCCUCUCCGCUUUUCUUGCCUAAGCAAAACCCGACCCGCCUAGUAGGUCUUAGAGUUCUUCACCCAGCAUGGCAGCCGUAGAGAGGGAGAGAGAAAAAAAAGAGGGAGCCAAGCCAGCCGCUUAGGUCAAGUAAAAUGCGCGCCGAGAUCCCCGGUUUCAGAAUUUUCGUGGGAUCCUCUCCGCUUUUCUUGCCUAAGCAAAACCCGACCCGCCUAGUAGGUCCUUAGAGUUCUUCACCCAGCAUGGCAGCCGGUAGAGAGGGAGAGAAAAAAAAGAGGGAGCCAAGCCAGCCGCUUAGGUCAAGUAAAAUGCGCGCCGAGAUCCCCCGGUUUCAGAAUUUUCGUGGGGAUCCUCUCCGCUUUUCUUGCCUAAGCAAAACCCGACCCCCGCCUAGUAGGUCUUAGAGUUUUCACCCAGCAUGGCAGCCGUAGAGAGGAGAGAGAGAAAAAAAAGAGGGAGCCAAGCCAGCCGCUUAGGUCAAGUAAAAUGCGCGCCGAGAUCCCCCGGUUUCAGAAUUUUCGUGGGGAUCCUCUCCGCUUUUCUUGCCUAAGCAAAACCCGACCCGCCUAGUAGGUCCUUAGAGUUUUCACCCAGCAUGGCAGCCGGUAGAGAGGGAGAGAGAAAAAAAAGAGGGAGCCAAGCCAGCCGCUUAGGUCAAGUAAAAUGCGCGCCGAGAUCCCCCGGUUUCAGAAUUUUCGUGGGGAUCCUCUCCGCUUUUCUUGCCUAAGCAAAACCCGACCCGCCUAGUAGGUCCUUAGAGUUUUCACCCAGCAUGGCAGCCGGAGAGGGAGAGAGAAAAAAAGAGGGAGCCAAGCCAGCCGCUUAGGUCAAGUAAAAUGCGCGCCGAGAUCCCCGGUUUCAGAAUUUUCGUGGGGAUCCUCUCCGCUUUUCUUGCCUAAGCAAAACCCGACCCGCCUAGUAGGUCCUUAGAGUUCUUCACCCAGCAUGGCAGCCGGUAGAGAGGGAGAGAGAAAAAAAAGAGGGAGCCAAGCCAGCCGCUUAGGUCAAGUAAAAUGCGCGCCGAGAUCCCCGGUUUCAGAAUUUUCGUGGGGAUCCUCUCCGCUUUUCUUGCCUAAGCAAAACCCGACCCGCCUAGUAGGUCUUAGAGUUUUCACCCAGCGGCAGCCGGUAGAGAGGGAGAGAGAAAAAAAGAGGGAGCCAAGCCAGCCGCUUAGGUCAAGUAAAAUGCGCGCCGAGAUCCCCGGUUUCAGAAUUUUCGUGGGGAUCCUCUCCGCUUUUCUUGCCUAAGCAAAACCCGACCCGCCUAGUAGGUCCUUAGAGUUCUUCACCCAGCAUGGCAGCCGGUAGAGAGGGAGAGAAAAAAAAGAGGGAGCCAAGCCAGCCGCUUAGGUCAAGUAAAAUGCGCGCCGAGAUCCCCGGUUUCAGAAUUUUCGUGGGGAUCCUCUCCGCUUUUCUUGCCUAAGCAAAACCCGACCCCGCCUAGUAGGUCUUAGAGUUCUUCACCCAGCAUGGCAGCCGUAGAGAGGGAGAGAGAAAAAAAAGAGGGAGCCAAGCCAGCCGCUUAGGUCAAGUAAAAUGCGCGCCGAGAUCCCCGGUUUCAGAAUUUUCGUGGGGAUCCUCUCCGCUUUUCUUGCCUAAGCAAAACCGACCCGCCUAGUAGGUCUUAGAGUUUUCACCCAGCAUGGCAGCCGUAGAGAGGGAGAGAGAAAAAAAAGAGGGAGCCAAGCCAGCCGCUUAGGUCAAGUAAAAUGCGCGCCGAGAUCCCCCGGUUUCAGAAUUUUCGUGGGGAUCCUCUCCGCUUUUCUUGCCUAAGCAAAACCCGACCCGCCUAGUAGGUCCUUAGAGUUCUUCACCCAGCAUGGCAGCCGGUAGAGAGGGAGAGAGAAAAAAAAGAGGGAGCCAAGCCAGCCGCUUAGGUCAAGUAAAAUGCGCGCCGAGAUCCCCGGUUUCAGAAUUUUCGUGGGGAUCCUCUCCGCUUUUCUUGCCUAAGCAAAACCCGACCCGCCUAGUAGGUCUUAGAGUUUUCACCCAGCAUGGCAGCCGGUAGAGGGGAGAGAGAAAAAAAAGAGGGAGCCAAGCCAGCCGCUUAGGUCAAGUAAAAUGCGCGCCGAGAUCCCCCGGUUUCAGAAUUUUCGUGGGGAUCCUCUCCGCUUUUCUUGCCUAAGCAAAACCCGACCCCGCCUAGUAGGUCUUAGAGUUCUUCACCCAGCAUGGCAGCCGUAGAGAGGGAGAGAGAAAAAAAGAGGGAGCCAAGCCAGCCGCUUAGGUCAAGUAAAAUGCGCGCCGAGAUCCCCCGGUUUCAGAAUUUUCGUGGGGAUCCUCUCCGCUUUUCUUGCCUAAGCAAAACCCGACCCGCCUAGUAGGUCCUUAGAGUUCUUCACCCAGCAUGGCAGCCGUAGAGAGGAGAGAGAAAAAAAAGAGGGAGCCAAGCCAGCCGCUUAGGUCAAGUAAAAUGCGCGCCGAGAUCCCCGGUUUCAGAAUUUUCGUGGGGAUCCUCUCCGCUUUUCUUGCCUAAGCAAAACCCGACCCGCCUAGUAGGUCCUUAGAGUUCUUCACCCAGCAUGGCAGCCGGUAGAGAGGGAGAGAGAAAAAAAAGAGGGAGCCAAGCCAGCCGCUUAGGUCAAGUAAAAUGCGCGCCGAGAUCCCCCGGUUUCAGAAUUUUCGUGGGGAUCCUCUCCGCUUUCUUGCCUAAGCAAAACCCGACCCGCCUAGUAGGUCCUUAGAGUUCUUCACCAGCAUGGCAGCCGUAGAGAGGGAGAGAGAAAAAAAAGAGGGAGCCAAGCCAGCCGCUUAGGUCAAGUAAAAUGCGCGCCGAGAUCCCCCGGUUUCAGAAUUUUCGUGGGGAUCCUCUCCGCUUUUCUUGCCUAAGCAAAACCCGACCCCCUAGUAGGUCUUAGAGUUCUUCACCCAGCAUGGCAGCCGUAGAGAGGAGAGAGAAAAAAAAGAGGGAGCCAAGCCAGCCGCUUAGUCAAGUAAAAUGCGCGCCGAGAUCCCCCGGUUUCAGAAUUUUCGUGGAUCCUCUCCGCUUUUCUUGCCUAAGCAAAACCCGACCCGCCUAGUAGGUCCUUAGAGUUCUUCACCCAGCAUGGCAGCCGGUAGAGAGGGAGAGAGAAAAAAAAGAGGGAGCCAAGCCAGCCGCUUAGGUCAAGUAAAAUGCGCGCCGAGAUCCCCCGGUUUCAGAAUUUUCGUGGGGAUCCUCUCCGCUUUUCUUGCCUAAGCAAAACCGACCCCGCUAGUAGGUACUUAGAGUUCUUCACCCAGCGUGGCAGCCUGUAGAGAGGAGAGAAAAAAAAAGAGGGAGUCAAGCGAGCCGCUUAGAUCAAGUAAAAUGCGCGCGAGAUCUCCCGGUUUCAGAAUUUUCGUGGCGAUCGCUCUCCUCUGUUCUUGCUAAGCAAAACCCGACCCGCCUAGUAGGUCUUAGAGCUCUUCACCCAGCGAUGGCAGCGGUAGAGAGGGAGAGAAAAAAAGAGGGAGCCAAGCCAGCCGCUUAUAGGUCAAGUAAAUGAUGCGCGCGCCGAGAUCCCCGGUUUCAGAAUUUUCGUGGCGGAUCCUCUCCUGCUUUUUCUUGCCUAAUGCAAACCCGAUCCCGCCUAGUAGGUCCUUAGAGUUCUUCACCCAGCAUGGCAGGCCGUAGAGAGUGGGGAGGAAAAAAAAGAGGGAGCCAAGCAGCCGCUUAGGUCAAGUAAAAUGCGCGCCGAGAUCCCGGUUUCAGAAUUUCGUGGGGAUCUCUCCGCUUUUCUUGCCUAAGCAAAACCCGAUC
rnacentral:lncRNA from 1 species